CUCUGGCGCGGUCUCCCUAAAUACCGUUAGAGCUGCGUCAGAGGGGGGCGGGGUCCGGCUCCGCAAAGCAGAGUGCCAAACCCGGAAGUGUUACCGCAUGACAGUGGGAUGCCAAUGCCGACUGAGAGAGAGGGGAGGCGUGGGAGGUGCGUGCUGACAGGAAGAUGAGCUUUUCGCCAAAUUCAUUAUAGACUGUAAUGGAGCAAGUUGGGAACAACAUAAGACCACUGAGGAGAAAAUUGCAAUAGUCAAGGCAAGAGAGAGGGCAGUGGCAUGGACCAGCACCAUAGCUGUAUC